UACGGAAGGCAGCAGUGGGGAAUAUUGCACAAUGGGCGAAAGCCUGAUGCAGCUAUGCCGCGUGUAUGAAGAAGGCCUUAGGGUUGUAAAGUACUUUUCAUCGGGGAGGAAAAAACAAAACUAAUAAUUUUAUUUCUUGACGUUACCCGAAAAAGAAGCACCGGCUAACUCCGUGCCAGCAGCCGCGGUAAUACGGAGGGUGCUAGCGUUAAUCAGAAUUACUGGGCGUAAAGAGCACGUAGGUGGUUUUUUUAAAGUCAGAUGUGAAAUCCCUGGGCUUAACCUGGAACUGCAUUUUGAAACUGAAAUACUAGAGUAUCGUAGAGGGAGGUAGAAUUCUAGGUGUAGCGGUGAAAUGCGUAGAUAUCUGGAGGAAUACCUGUGGCGAAAGCGGCCUCCUAAACGAAUACUGGCACUGAGGGUGCGAAAGCGUGGGGAGCAAACAGGGAUUAGAUACCCGU
rnacentral:rRNA from 1 species